GCGAGAGUGGUGGAAUUGGCAGACACGCCAGACUUAGGAUCUGGUGCCUUGGCGUGAGGGUUCAAGUCCCUCCUCUCGCA
rnacentral:tRNA from 2 species